rnacentral:rRNA from 1 species
GACGAACCGUGCGAACGUUGUUCGGAAUCACUGGGCUUAAAGGGCGCGUAGGCGGACUACCAAGUCAGGGGUGAAAUCCUGCGGCUCAACCGUAGAAGUGCCUUUGAUACUGGUGGUCUCGAGGGGAGUGAGGGCGUGCGGAACUUCCGGUGGAGCGGUGAAAUGCGUAGAUAUCGGAAGGAACACCGGUGGCGAAAGCGGCGCGCUGGACCUCUACUGACGCUGAGGCGCGAAAGCCAGGGGAGCGAACGGG